GAUGAACGCUGGCGGCGUGCCUAAUACAUGCAAGUCGAGCGAACAGACGAGGAGCUUGCUCCUCUGACGUUAGCGGCGGACGGGUGAGUAACACGUGGAUAACCUACCUAUAGGACUGGGAUAACUUCGGGAAACCGGAGCUAAUACCGGAUAAUAUAUUGAGCCGCAUGGUUCAAUAGUGAAAGACGGUUUUGCUGUCACUUAUAGAUGGAUCCGCGCCGCAUUAGCUAGUUGGUAAGGUAACGGCUUACCAAGGCAACGAUGCGUAGCCGACCUGAGAGGGUGAUCGGCCACACUGGAACUGAGACACGGUCCAGACUCCUACGGGAGGCAGCAGUAGGGAAUCUUCCGCAAUGGGCGAAAGCCUGACGGAGCAACGCCGCGUGAGUGAUGAAGGUCUUCGGAUCGUAAAACUCUGUUAUUAGGGAAGAACAAAUGUGUAAGUAACUAUGCACGUCUUGACGGUACCUAAUCAGAAAGCCACGGCUAACUACGUG
rnacentral:rRNA from 1 species